UGGGGAAUUUUGCGCAAUGGGGGAAACCCUGACGCAGCAACGCCGCGUGGAGGAUGAAGUCCUUCGGGACGUAAACUCCUUUCGAUCGGGACGAUAAUGACGGUACCGGAAGAAGAAGCCCCGGCUAACUUCGUGCCAGCAGCCGCGGUAAUACGAGGGGGGCGAGCGUUGUUCGGAAUUAUUGGGCGUAAAGGGUGCGUAGGCGGUUUGGUAAGUCUUCUGUGAAAUCUAUGGGCUCAACUCAUAGACUGCAUGAGAAACUGCCGUGCUAGAGUGCGGGAGAGGCGAGUGGAAUUGCAGGUGUAGCGGUGAAAUGCGUAGAUAUCUGCAGGAACACCCGUGGCGAAGGCGGCUCGCUGGACCGCAACUGACGCUGAGGAACGAAAGCUAGGGGAGCAAACAGGAUUAGAUACCCUGGUAGUCCUAGCCCUAAACCAUCAGGACUUGGGGUGCAUCCCGUUCGGGGUGCGUCCCGUAGCUAACGCGUUAAGUCCUGCGCCUGGGGAGUACGGUCGCAAGGCUG
rnacentral:rRNA from 1 species